UGCUGGAGGUAUCAGAAGUGCGAAUGCUGACAUAAGUAACGAUAAAGCGGGUGAAAAGCCCGCUCGCCGGAAGACCAAGGGUUCCUGUCCAACGUUAAUCGGGGCAGGGUGAGUCGACCCCUAAGGCGAGGCCGAAAGGCGUAGUCGAUGGGAAACAGGUUAAUAUUCCUGUACUUGGUGUUACUGCGAAGGGGGGACGGAGAAGGCUAUGUUGGCCGGGCGACGGUUGUCCCGGUUUAAGCGUGUAGGCUGGUUUUCCAGGCAAAUCCGGAAAAUCAAGGCUGAGGCGUGAUGACGAGGCACUACGGUGCUGAAGCGACAAAUGCCCUGCUUCCAGGAAAAGCCUCUAAGCAUCAGGUAACAUUAAAUCGUACCCCAAACCGACACAGGUGGUCAGGUAGAGAAUACCAAGGCGCUUGAGAGAACUCGGGUGAAGGAACUAGGCAAAAUGGUGCCGUAACUUCGGGAGAAGGCACGCUGAUAUGUAGGUGAAGCGACUUGCUCGUGGAGCUGAAAUCAGUCGAAGAUACCAGCUGGCUGCAACUGUUUAUUAAAAACACAGCACUGUGCAAACACGAAAGUGGACGUAUACGGUGUGACGCCUGCCCGGUGCCGGAAGGUUAAUUGAUGGGGUUAGCGGCAACGCGAAGCUCUUGAUCGAAGCCCCGGUAAACGGCGGCCGUAACUAUAACGGUCCUAAGGUAGCGAAAUUCCUUGUCGGGUAAGUUCCGACCUGCACGAAUGGCGUAAUGAUGGCCAGGCUGUCUCCACCCGAGACUCAGUGAAAUUGAACUCGCUGUGAAGAUGCAGUGUACCCGCGGCAAGACGGAAAGACCCCGUGAACCUUUACUAUAGCUUGACACUGAACAUUGAGCCUUGAUGUGUAGGAUAGGUGGGAGGCUUUGAAGUGUGGACGCCAGUCUGCAUGGAGCCGACCUUGAAAUACCACCCUUUAAUGUUUGAUGUUCUAACGUGGGCCCGUAAUCCGGGUUGCGGACAGUGUCUGGUGGGUAGUUUGACUGGGGCGGUCUCCUCCUAAAGAGUAACGGAGGAGCACGAAGGUUGGCUAAUCCUGGUCGGACAUCAGGAGGUUAGUGCAAUGGCAUAAGCCAGCUUGACUGCGAGCGUGACGGCGCGAGCAGGUGCGAAAGCAGGUCAUAGUGAUCCGGUGGUUCUGAAUGGAAGGGCCAUCGCUCAACGGAUAAAAGGUACUCCGGGGAUAACAGGCUGAUACCGCCCAAGAGUUCAUAUCGACGGCGGUGUUUGGCACCUCGAUGUCGGCUCAUCACAUCCUGGGGCUGAAGUAGGUCCCAAGGGUAUGGCUGUUCGCCAUUUAAAGUGGUACGCGAGCUGGGUUUAGAACGUCGUGAGACAGUUCGGUCCCUAUCUGCCGUGGGCGCUGGAGAACUGAGGGGGGCUGCUCCUAGUACGAGAGGACCGGAGUGGACGCAUCACUGGUGUUCGGGUUGUCAUGCCAAUGGCACUGCCCGGUAGCUAAAUGCGGAAGAGAUAAGUGCUGAAAGCAUCUAAGCACGAAACUUGCCCCGAGAUGAGUUCUCCCUGACCCUUUAAGGGUCCUGAAGGAACGUUGAAGACGACGACGUUGAUAGGCCGGGUGUGUAAGCGCAGCGAUGCGUUGAGCUAACCGGUACUAAUGAACCGUGAGGCUUAACCUU
rnacentral:rRNA from 1 species